ACCGUUUCCACUUUGAGCGAUUUGCCUUGUUAUUAUUCGUUGAAAAUCAUUUAUCUGUUUAUAAACGUUCAAGUCGAUUAUGUCUUACAUAUGGUGGUAGUCGAUUAUUUGGAGUCGGCUUUCUGCUGGAGAAAACCACCGGUUUUUGAAUUUUCAUAAACUCAUAGGUUUUUAGAACAGCGUUUUUGCCAAAAUAAUAGUGACCACCUUACAUACAAUGCAUAAACUGCAGUUAGACUUCACAGACGAGCAAGUGCAGCGGAAGUUGUGUGUUGAAGAGCUAGGUGGCACAACUAUUGUGGUUUUUAGAAACAAAGGCAAGUAUACGCGUAUUUCUACCACUGUCACAUGUGGUGCUACGGACAAUUUCAUAGAUGACAUUAAGCGUGCUGUGUAUGAUGGUGCAAAUACCUAGUUACAUAAGUGUUUGACAUGUGACGGUCAUUAUGGGCCUAGUCGAUAUCUUGUCCGGUCUAGCACAAUAUGCUGUACGUAGAUGUAUGCGCAACACCUACACGAGCAAGUCCUCGCGCUUUACGUCUACAAUUACACGGUUUUGAUUUCUGCCCGAACAAGUGCAGCGUUCCAACACCUAUACGAGCAAGUGCACCCACUUUCUUCAUAUUUCCGCUCCGAUUCAUUACUGUGACGCGUUGUAUUGAAAUACGUAAAUUUACUAACAAUCACAAUUAUUAAAAGUGGAUUAUAUUAUCAAUAUAUGGAAUUUUUCGAUGUUUUAGUUUUAGAUCAUAUGAAUGCCUUUUCCUAACUCUUUGUAAUAUUAAGGACGCCAAUUAUAUUAAGGUAGACAAAUUUUAGACUAUAAACUAGUAAAUUUGUAACUUUUGUUGCAAACAAUUUUAACUUUUCUAACUCCAAUUUUUUUCUUAUGUUUGAAAAUGAUCGACUGAACUUCUGCUUUCACAAUGUCUCUAGUAACAUAUGUAUGUACAUAUGUGUGUACAUGUAUUAUUAUGCACGAAAUACGAAAUUAAACUUUCUGUUUUCUCCCAUUCCUGUCGUUUAAAUAUAUUUUGACCUUUGGUGUAUUAAAGGACUUGUAGUAUUAUAGAAUUCUGUGGCAAAUAUUCUUGUAGUUAAUUUAACACAUUAUAUUCCUUUAUUAUGACUAUUUUUUGUUCUUUCCCAAAAAAUAUACACAAAUCUAUUGCGAGAUUAGAUUCUUAAAAUGUUCCUCGGAAAUAUUUCUGGUUAUUUUUAACGUAUCAUGGCAGCCAAAUCUGUAUCAAAUUCAAUGGUUUAACAUGUUACUCUCUCAAUACAUAAUAUACAUAUAAAGGAUGCGAAAAGUCAGUAUUUAUUUCAGGAAUAAAAAAUUGUAAAAACAGUUAUGAAACGUACAUUUACGUUCUUACGAUACUGAAAUGAGCAAAUUUGCAACAUCUCGUAAUGCAAAGGUUACUAAACAUGGCUUUAUAUGCAUAAGAGUGAACUAAUUUUGUUAAAUACUUUUGUUUAUUAGCAACCAUUUCCUUUUUAAUGUAAUGAAAAUAUUCCUUUUGAGACUCCAUUUUUUUACUUUUGUCUCGUUUCACAUCUAACUAGAUAAUAUUUGUUCUACAACUACGAA